rnacentral:lncRNA from 1 species
UGGAGGCACGACUCGGCGUCGGCCAUCUCCACGCCGUUGACGCUGCCGUCGGCGCCGGGCCGUCCGGCCUUGUACUUGUACCACCUGGCGGCGAAGAGGUAGACGACGAGGUUGGCGAGGCAGACCCCCGCGAGGAGCCAGUAGAACUUGUAGAGCUCGCCCUUGUUGAGGUCGUCGGCGAUCCACGGCCGGCGGUCACCCGUGAUCUUGUGCACGACGGUGACGAGCGCCGAGCUGACGAAGAAUCCGAGCGAGAGCGUGCUGAGGAAGAGCCCCGUGCUCAUGGUCUUCAUCCCCUUGGGGCACUCGCGCAGGAAGAAGUCGAGCUGGCCGAUGUAGGUGAAGGCCUCGCCGGCGCCGACAAAAAAGAACUGCGGGAUGAGCCAGAAGACCGUCAUGGGCACGGGGGCGCCCGCCGGGACUGCGGAGUCCCGAGCCACGCGGAGGCGCUUGACCUCUACGAGAGCGGCGGAGGUCAUGGCGAGGAUGGAGAGCACGAG